GCACUUCUGAGGAGUUCCACAAUAGGACGAAACGGCCGUUCAGUGC
rfam:Schistosoma margrebowiei strain Zambia genome assembly, scaffold: SMRZ_scaffold0000414